rnacentral:rRNA from 1 species
ACGAGGGGUGUUGCGUUUCGGAGGGUCCAGCACGCCGUGCCAUACCGUCUAAGUCAAGCUUGAAAGCGGCCACUACCCAUGGAGGGUGACAGGCCCGUGUGACGGAGCCCGCGAGGGUAAAGAUGGCACGGUCGGAAAGGGCAGCAGCAGGAUCUCUCUCUCCGUAGAGUCGGGUUGCUUAAUAGUGCAGCCCAAAGCAGGUGGUAAACUCCAUCUAAGGCUAAAUAUGACCACGAGACCGAUAGCGAACAAGUACCGUGAGGGAAAGUUGAAAAGAACUUUGAAGAGAGAGUUCAAGAGUACGUGAAACCGUUAAGAGCCAAACGGAUGGAACCUCGAAGGUCGAACUGAGGGGAUUCAGCUCGUCGGCCGUCGGCUGGAUGCGAGUUUUCGUUAAGUCGGUGUGACCCGAGGAAUCUCGGGCGCGCUCGCACCCAAGCUGGCGUCGGCGGGCGCAUUUCGCCUCGUAGUAGGGCGCCGCGACCCGUUGCUAGGGACGUCUAUGGCCCCGGAAAGCGAUUGAUUUACGCGAAACUUCCGUUGGUGAUCCUGACUGCCCUGCGACGGUCGUAGAGACGAGUCCCUAUCCCCAUUACUGGGGAGGGGUUGCUCUCGCGGCGUGCAAAAAGAUCGGUGAUCCAUCCGACCCGUCUUGAAACACGGACCAAGGAGUCUAACAUGCGUGCGAGUCAGUGGGCGCACUAAACCCAAAGGCGUAAUGAAAGUGAAAGAAUAACCGAGUCCGGCGCCCGCGUCUUUCAAUGGUGCGGGAGCCGGAAGAAGCAUCUCGGAGGGCCGAUCCGUCGCCUCCUUCUUCCGCCCCUCAACUGGCCUGUCUGUGGCGGUGGGGGGAUUGGCUUUGAAGGAGCGUGUAGGCGCAGGCCCGGGACUUGCCAAGACGCCGCCGCCUCCGCCGCCGCCGCGAGGACCACACUGCCUUCUUCCGUCAGCGAGGUUGGAGAUGAUUAAAAGAUGAUGACGCCGUCAUCCUCUCAAAAUCUCUCUAAACCGAGCGGCGGUAGCGGGUGGGGGUGACGAUGAUGCGUGCGUGCGUGCGUGCUUGCGUGCGUGCAGUCGGCAAGUACCACGAGCAGACAUGUUGGUACCCGAAAGAUGGUGAACUAUGCCUGGCCAGGAUGAAGCCAGAGGAAACUCUGGUGGAGGUCCGAAGCGAUUCUGACGUGCAAAUCGAUCGUCUGAGCUGGGUAUAGGGGCGAAAGACUAAUCGAAUCAUCUAGUAGCUGGUUCCCUCUGAAGUUUCCCUCAGGAUAGCUGGAACUCGCAGGAUGAAUUUCGUCCGGUAAAGCGAAUGAUUAGAGGUGUUGGGGACGAAACGUCCUCAACCUAUUCUCAAACUUUAAAUGGGCGAGAUGCCGAGCUUUCUUGAACGUUGGCUGAUGAAGCUCUGGCGAUGUUUAAUCUGAGUAUCUAGUGGGCCAUUUUUGGUAAGCAGAACUGGCGCUGUGGGAUGAACCAAACGUCGAGUUAAGGGGCCUAAAUGAAUGCUAAUUCAGAUCCCAUCGAAAGGCGUUGGUUGCUAUAGACAGCAGGACGGUGGCCAUGGAAGUCGGAAUCCGCUAAGGAGUGUGUAACAACUCACCUGCCGAAGCAACUAGCCCUUAAAAUGGUAUGGCGCUGAAGCAUUCUCCCGAUACUCGACCGCCGGGGCACUAGCGGCCACAAAGCCCCAGAGGCGAGGAGGAGGUCUCGAAGCCCCGGUGAGUAAGAGGGUCGCAGUGGUGAGCGCUGAAGGGAUCCGGCGUGAGCCGGCCUGGAGCCGCCACUGGUGCAGAUCUUGGUGGUAGUAGCAAAUACUCGAGAGAGACUCCCUCGAAGACCGAUGUGGAGAAGGGUUCCAUGUGAACAUCAGUUGGACAUGGGUUAGUCGCUCCUAAGCCCAAGGCUAAUGCCUGAUCCCAUGCUAGCGGCAACGUUCGGCCAACGUGUAAGAAGCAUCAGCAUGAGGAGAAUAAGUAGAAGAAGAAGAAGAAGAAGUAGUUAGUCUAGGGAGAAUAAUGCAGCACCGUUCGGUGCGGCGGUAACGGCGGUUUCCUCUGCCGCCAAUGCCGCCGCUUCUUCCGUCCGUCGAGUGCAUCUCUAGCUGCUUCUUCCUUCCGCUGCUCUCAUGUGCUUCUAGUUGCCCGGGAUUAGUGGCGAAAGGGAAUACGGUACUUAUUCCGUAACCUGGACUCGGAUAAAAAAAAUAACCAGGCAGGCUCUCCUAGCGCCCAGCAAGCUAUCGAGCGACUUGCUCCCGAGAGGGAAAUAUCAUCGCUACGGCUGCUACUGGUGCCGCAGGUGUGAUGCUGUUGCCCUGUGUUGAGGACCCCGGUGACGGGAACCAGCUCGCGCCCAUCGGCGGUGGUCCGGGAAAGAGUUUUCUUUUCUGUUUAAGGCGCCGUGACCCUAGAAGCCAUCCGCAGGGAGAGAGAGGGAUUGGAAACAC